GACGAACGCUGGCGGCGUGCUUAACACAUGCAAGUCGAGCGGUAAGGCUCCUUCGGGAGUACACGAGCGGCGAACGGGUGAGUAACACGUGAGCAAUCUGCCCUUCACUUUGGGGAUAACCCCGGGAACCGGGGACGUAAUACCGAAUGCGACCACCGAUGGCAUCGUCUGGUGGUGGAAAGUUCCGGCGGUGAAGGAUGAGCUCGCGGCCUAUCAGCUUGUUGGUGGGGUAAC
rnacentral:rRNA from 1 species